rnacentral:rRNA from 1 species
AAAUUGAAGAGUUUGAUCAUGGCUCAGAUUGAACGCUGGCGGCAGGCCUAACACAUGCAAGUCGAACGGUAACAGGAAACAGCUUGCUGUUUCGCUGACGAGUGGCGGACGGGUGAGUAAUGUCUGGGAAACUGCCUGAUGGAGGGGGAUAACUACUGGAAACGGUAGCUAAUACCGCAUAACGUCGCAAGACCAAAGAGGGGGACCUUAGGGCCUCUUGCCAUCGGAUGUGCCCAGAUGGGAUUAGCUAGUAGGUGGGGUAAUGGCUCACCUAGGCGACGAUCCCUAGCUGGUCUGAGAGGAUGACCAGCCACACUGGAACUGAGACACGGUCCAGACUCCUACGGGAGGCAGCAGUGGGGA